rnacentral:tRNA from 1 species
UGGCUCAGUUGGUAGAGCAUGGUGUUUGCAACGCCAUGGUUGUGGGUUCGAAUCCCAC